rnacentral:lncRNA from 1 species
CCCUGCUUCACUUUGUGAAGAAAGAACUAAUAAUAACAUAUAGUGGAAGCAAAUACACACUUAAAGAUCCAUAAGUGAAAACUCAAAUUUCUGUUAUUCAUAGUGGAAAUUACCAUAGUCGCUACAUAGAUAUGUACACAACAAUGGAGCCAAACGAGAAAAGCUAGAUAUUCCAAAAGGCCUAAAAGCAAACAUUAGAAGUCAACCACUCUAAUCAUAUUAAGUUGCCCUUGCCAAAACGAAUAAAACCCAAAAUAGAAAAGAAAAUAACUUAGAUUAUGAUCAAAUUAAUCAAGCUUCAGAGCCCCAAAUAGCCCAAUUAGCUUCACUUCCAACACGAGGCAUCAUCUGGUUCUUUGAUUGAGAAUCAACAUUGAAGUUGGCUCCACACAUAAUCCCCUCACUGUCAAUCCUAGGCAUUGCUUUCAUCUUCUUAGUUGGAUGCUGAAAGCUCAGAAGACCAUGCUCACUAUGAAACAAACACCCUGCAAAUUCAACACAAGCCAUGCAUUAAGUUCUUUAUGGUUCCUUUCUAUGAGUCCCUUUUAAUUUUGCCAUUACCUUAUAGUUGUACUAUUUUGAUAAAAAAUUGAAAUCUAAAUAAUCUCUACAAGAGCUAAGCACAAAAGCCAUGGAUUUGGAGACUAUCUAAAUUCACACAUUCAAGUAAUCUGAGUCGUUCGAUUAAAGACUGACGACUCAGAUGUUGAUGGCCUGAAUUUAAGAUUUCUCAAACUCCCUGAAAUCUAAAUCCAAUUUUUGCAAUGGAAAGAGAAACCAAAUUGAAUACAUACCAGUUGGGAAUGGUGCAAAUGAUUUAGCACAGCUUGAUUUUACAAGCUCCAGGUUUUCAGAAAUGACAAUUGAACCAUCAGCUGCAAUACCCCAGAAGAGCCCAACCUGGCCAUCAGAACCCUGCUCAAAAUAGACAAUACAACAUUAUGUAAGUAACAUACAUUUUCAACACAACAUUAUGAUCCAACAUUUAGAAUUUCAGAUAUGGGACUCACAGAUGCAACAAAAACUGUUCCAUCCUUGUUGUCAUAGAUCACAAAUCCAAAACUCCCUUCAAGUUCUUUGAGGACCUGAUCUCCUGGGCAAGGACCCCUCUCGCGAAGGGUACGAUAAGCUUCAAUGAUAAACAUGGCCUCAUUGGUUCCCUUUGACAGCCCAUACUGCUUGUUCAGCUGGCUAAGGUUGUGCAGGCUACCCAAGAAAACACAGUAUAUGUUGUCCAAACCACUAAACAGCCUGUGACAAAAAAAAAAUUGUAUUAGCAAUACAAAUAGACCAAGUAUCGACGCAACGGUAAGGUUUGUACUAUGUGCCACUUACAAAAAUAUAAGCUAAGAUGACCUACAUUAGAUCUACAAAGUGGAUCUGAACCUCACAUAGGUUUGCCCUUUUUUUCAUUAGGGAUACAAAUUAAUGGACAUAUUCAUAAAUCCAUUUCUGAAAUAAGAGAUCCAUUAAUAGUAUGUUUGGAUCAACUUCUAUUUCUUCAUAAUCAAUUUUGUGAUCAGAAGCUACUCACAUAAGUUUUUUCCUAAUAUGAUUCAUUGAUUCUAACUUUAAAAUGAAGAAUUUCCAAACAUGCUAUAACUAAUCAUAUCAUCUAACACAACCAAUUUAAUCUAGCCUUAAAAUUUUGGAAAGGUAAUGAACUGAUAAUUGAUGAUUGAUCCCUCAAUUAUUAGGUGAAAUUAAAUUUCAGUGCCAAGCAAACAUGUCUUAAAGGCAAAAUGACAAAAUGGGAUUUCUUUAUUACCUCUGAUGAAUGGAGGGUUUCUUUGAAGGGGAAUAGGCUAGCACAGCAUCAUUUCCAAAGCUCAUGAAGAAAGGAUUGGAGGAGGAACUGGUGCAGGAGGACAUGAAAUUGUUGAGGAUUUCAUGACUUUGCUUAGGCUUUGUUUGAGAAAUCAAAGAAGCUGGACUGUUCAGCUCCUUGGGUGCAUUGAUCAACUUUUCCUUGAAAAUUCCCAACAUCUUUGCUAUGAAACUCUUGUGUUUACAAAUGGAGAAUGAGAAUGAGAUAUGAGUGAUAGAAAGGCUUAGAAUGAUAACGGAUAGUAAUGAAAUGAAAGAGUGAUUCAGGGAGAUAUAUAUAGACACAAAUACAAUAUGGAUCACAAUACUAGCUCUCAGUUUGACUGGAAGGUGAGAUACCGUGUUUCUACGUGGCAAUUCUAUCAAAACUGGAUAAGGAUGAAAUAGUACAAGUAAUAUAUUUCUCAUUAAUUAAUUUCAUAUAUGAUAUGAUAUACAAGUCAGAACUGAUUUUUUAUUGUAUACUUUUCAAUUCAAUUCAUCAACAACAUUAAUAUUCCACAAAUCACGUUACAGGACUGUGAUGACUCGACACCGCGUAUUUUUAAAUUUUUUUAUGUUAUGAGUUAUGACAGAUCAAAAAUCACCAUAAAAUAAGUGUCUAAAUGGAUCACAAUACUAGCUCUCAGUGAAGUAUAUAUGCGAAGAACAGAUAAAGGUUUUAACCCUCUAAAUUAUGACACUUCUUCCAACUUGUGUUGUAAAACAAAUAAAACAUGAUGAUUUCCACGAGUGAAAUCCUAUUUUUCCAAAUCUAACAUUAAAUUAUAACUAACAGGUAAUUGAUUCAAGUGAUACAUGUUUGUUCUCGUUUAUUCAAUUCUUGUGCAUGGAAAAAAUGUCCACCCGGAAUAGCUAGAACAAGGUUGAUAACAUGUAAUUGGUAUGCAAACAUUUUUGAUGCAUCAUAUUCAAGGAUCCAUUUGCCACAAAAACUAUGUCGAAUGUUGAGGAGCCACAUGACCAAACUCUUCAUCCAUUUUGAUCGUGCAAAAUAUAUGCAAAUCAAUCAUGUGUGCUGAAUUUUCUCAUGCCCUGCUUCACUUUGUGAAGAAAGAACUAAUAAUAACAUAUAGUGGAAGCAAAUACACACUUAAAGAUCCAUAAGUGAAAACUCAAAUUUCUGUUAUUCAUAGUGGAAAUUACCAUAGUCGCUACAUAGAUAUGUACACAACAAUGGAGCCAAACGAGAAAAGCUAGAUAUUCCAAAAGGCCUAAAAGCAAACAUUAGAAGUCAACCACUCUAAUCAUAUUAAGUUGCCCUUGCCAAAACGAAUAAAACCCAAAAUAGAAAAGAAAAUAACUUAGAUUAUGAUCAAAUUAAUCAAGCUUCAGAGCCCCAAAUAGCCCAAUUAGCUUCACUUCCAACACGAGGCAUCAUCUGGUUCUUUGAUUGAGAAUCAACAUUGAAGUUGGCUCCACACAUAAUCCCCUCACUGUCAAUCCUAGGCAUUGCUUUCAUCUUCUUAGUUGGAUGCUGAAAGCUCAGAAGACCAUGCUCACUAUGAAACAAACACCCUGCAAAUUCAACACAAGCCAUGCAUUAAGUUCUUUAUGGUUCCUUUCUAUGAGUCCCUUUUAAUUUUGCCAUUACCUUAUAGUUGUACUAUUUUGAUAAAAAAUUGAAAUCUAAAUAAUCUCUACAAGAGCUAAGCACAAAAGCCAUGGAUUUGGAGACUAUCUAAAUUCACACAUUCAAGUAAUCUGAGUCGUUCGAUUAAAGACUGACGACUCAGAUGUUGAUGGCCUGAAUUUAAGAUUUCUCAAACUCCCUGAAAUCUAAAUCCAAUUUUUGCAAUGGAAAGAGAAACCAAAUUGAAUACAUACCAGUUGGGAAUGGUGCAAAUGAUUUAGCACAGCUUGAUUUUACAAGCUCCAGGUUUUCAGAAAUGACAAUUGAACCAUCAGCUGCAAUACCCCAGAAGAGCCCAACCUGGCCAUCAGAACCCUGCUCAAAAUAGACAAUACAACAUUAUGUAAGUAACAUACAUUUUCAACACAACAUUAUGAUCCAACAUUUAGAAUUUCAGAUAUGGGACUCACAG